CUUUAUGAUCUAAUUGUUGAAACUCUCGAGUGUAAGAGCAACCGCUAGGAUAAUCAACCGUCAUCGGUGAUUUAUUCUCAUUCCUUCCAGUCUCCACCCUUGAAUUGAAUCCACACACACAUGAGAGAGAGAACCGAGAUGACGCCGGGUCAGUGAUGAUGGUGUUCGGAUGAUGGCGGUGGUAGGUUGUGGACAAAGCGAAGCCCGACGAUGGCUUUAGGGUUCCGUCGCAAGUCAGUCAAGGGGUUAUUAGGAUUCGGGCAGAGCCAUACCUAGGGUUCUGAUUGACAAUUCCAGAGGUGUAAUCGGUGUUUAAAAGGACGGAUUGAAACAACCCCUCUUCAUCUCGCCAAAACCCUAAUCGAUUCGUCAACCACCACAUCUGCAGAAGAGAUCAACGUCAUCCACAGUGGCACCACAACGCUUUCACUGAGUUCGAGAAAGUGUUCGAUCGGAUUGGAUGUUCGUAGCAUGCUUCAUUCACGCGCAUAGGUAACACACGAUUGAUUAUACGUAUCAACAACGGAGAUUUGUAUGAGUUAACAACCUGAAAUUUGAUUAAUCGUGAUUACGGUGCCUUUCCAAGUUCCAAUGAUUGACAGGAGAAGACUUGAUUGCACCAUGCCAUUGUAGAGGCACCCAAAAAUAUGUCCACAGGUCAUGUCUUGACAAUUGGAGGUCUGCCAGGGAGGGGCUUGCUUUCUCUCACUGCACAGAAUGUAAGGCUGUGUUUAUACUACGUGCGAAUGUCCCACCAGUUCGCUGGUGGUUGAGGUUGAAAUUUCAGUUACUGGUUGCAAGAGACCAUGCAUUCAUUUUCAUCAUUGUCCAAAUGAUUGUUGCCUUCUUAGGUGUGUCGGUCUACAAAUUUUAUGGAGAUGAACCGAGACAAAGGUUAAGCUAAAUUUCAAAUGUUAUAAAUUCUCAUAGUUCCAUUUUUAUGUUACUUUCUACGAGUCAUCGUUAGUAAGGUGGCAAUUUUGACCUGCUACUUAGACUAGGGGUGUGGAGAGGUUUGGGUUGGGGGCAUUCCUCGACACUUGGCAGGUGUGGGCUCCACCAGUCCACACCCAAAAAAGUGGGGUGUGGAAGGGGCGUGGCCCGGCGUUGGGGUGCCAUGUGGCACCUAAUUUAACCAUUGCCAAACGAUCAUCAACACCCAGCCAACCAUUGCCAGACACGUCACCCCAGGCCAGCGCCCCACGCCAAACACUAUUGCCACUCCAAGCUGGCAACGCCCACCAAAACGCCAACCCGGGGUGAUGUACCCGGCGUUAAAGGGCCAACAACGCCCUUAGCCACGCCCACACCCACCAGUCUUAAGAACGGGUAAAAAAAACAUUGCUUAAAAGCAGGCUUGUUAAAUGCUUCAAACGGGUUAAAACUUGAAAGUGUAUUUUUAAUGCAUAAAUCACCCAAAUCGUUUUACUAAGAACAAAUUAGAUUAUUACUGAAAUAUUAUAGUUUUUAUAAUUAUAUUUGACUUCUUAAUUAUAUUUAAAAAAUAAUUUUGGAAAAAAGAAACGUUGUUUCUGGCCAUCAAACCUGGCAUGUUUCGACCCUCACCAAAAAUCCAAAUCAAUACUUCAAUACUACCAUUUCAUGUUUUAUUUCAAUAUUUUCAUGUAAUGGAUAUUUUUUUAAUAGUUGCAGGUCACAGUUGAUAUAACACCAGAUUUAAUUGUUACCUAUUUAGUGCACAAAAAUUAACACCAUUAUUUGUCUGUCAUCAUUUUGGGUUUGCCAAUGACUUUAUUCACUAUUUGGUUAUAUUUCAUAUUUUUAAGCCAAAUAGGCUUGUUAGAUUAAAGGUCUGGUACAAGAAAUAUGCUCUAUUACAACUGCUGGUAUCACAAGUUCAGGUCUUUGAUGCGGCUGGGUCUUGGAGCUUGUUCAGGCUGCAUUGCUAUGGCCGCUGAGAGCUGGACGCAUCAGAUUUUCAUAUGGACAUGGUUGCAUUAUUGGAACAAACUUGUUCUGUACAGUCUGCAGACUGCAAGUAUAAAGCUCCUGCUGCACUGGACGGGAGCUUCAGGCUGCUUUUAUAUGGCAGUUAGAAGCUGGUCGCAUCAAACUUUACUCCGGACCUGCAUUGGUAGGAUUUUUACUGGAAAAGGUCCUGGUUUAUACGUUUGGGCUGGUCAUCUUUUAAAGGCCCAGUUCUGGUUUAUUAGUCAGACUCAAAGGGACUAGGAUUGGGCUGUUAUACUUCGCCGUAAAGUGCUGAAAUACAGGGAUGUGCUGCUGUGUCUGGGAUGUUACGGGGGAAUGCCCCCUUGAUGGUGUAAUUUUUUUCAUUGUGUGUUAUAUAGUUUGCUGGGCGAUGCCCUUUAUCCAAAAAAAAGUUUAUAUUAAAAACCAA